UAAAGAGCGGGUCAAUUGAGCCUCGGAGUCCUUCUCCACCCACGUAUCAAUUUUAAAAAAUGCAACAUUAGUAGGCGUUGCCUGGAGGACCGAGAGGGCGGAGCCGCGGCAGUGACGAAGACGAUGGCUAACUAGACGAAGCUAGCUCCCUUCACUCUGAGCAGUUGAUAGAAGUGGAGGACGUUUCUCCCCCUCCUUACAGACACUCGAGAAGAAAGGGACCAAGUCUAUUUGGAGGAGACAAGCGGACCUGAGUCUUAUUGUUUUGAGCUUGUGAGUUGCCUGAAACUCCCAGAACCGACCCAACAGAAUCACCUCUGAAAGGUCCUCUGGUGUCUGCAGCUGGUCUCUGGUGUCUGCAGCUGGUCUCCUCUGCUGGUGUCCUCAGGAUCAGGAACUUCCAGAAGAAUGUGCCUUUCAAUGACUCUUUCCCCCUUAUUUGUUAUAUUAAUUAAAUAAAUCUCAAUUUAUAUA